CCAGCGAGUUUGGGUGCUUAAAUGACACCCAUGUAAAAAUACAGGGCUGUACCGUCUGAGCAGAAAGUGAUUUUGUAAAUAAAAAUCGAAUCAAAUCAGACUUUAUUGUCUGUCGAGGAUACCCAAGACAGAAAUGUUUCUUUUGCUCACAAGGGCAGCCAUAUAUACUCACACAGACAUUUAACACACACAGUUAGGAGUAAAUCACACAGUUAGGAGUAAAAGGUUAUCAUUCAAUAAAUGUACAGCUAGUUUGUGAUAGCUCAUAAAUAUAAUUAACUGUGUUGUUAAGUAUUCUGGAACUAGUCAUGACACCAGGAUUUUGACGGAGUCAAAGCUGUACCAAGCUUAUGAAGUAUAUACAUCCUUGAUCAGUCACGUGAUAAACCCAAGAAACAAUUGAGCAUGCUGAAAAGACGCCUUCCUUGCCUUUCAAAGAAACAUCAAGGUACAGUCCAAAGAGAGCUAUAGUUAUCAUCAUGGCAUGCAUAGUAUUACACAAGUAUAGUAUGCAUUCUGUAUGAUGAGCAUGAUGACAAUCAUGAUACUGAACUUUAUGGAGGUCAACCAGCCUUAAGUGCAAGAACAAAGCAAGAGUCCCUUAUUUACAGAUCCUUCUCCUAAAGCUUUAAUAUUUGAUGGUAAAGUACAAUUUAUUUGUAUGCAGAAUUUCAAAGUUAAAACUAAGACAUGUCUUUUUCAUCAGAUUAAGCAAAACUUGUGAUCAGCAUAAGUCCUCCUAGAGGUUUAAGAUGAAGGCUGGAUGAAUAACAGCCUCAAACAUGCACAGUGUAUGUCAUGCAUGUAGACCAGCCAGCCUUUUCAGUGAUUUUAGAAGCUUUUGCAUAAAGAUGUCCUGGUGAAAGUUCAUAAAGAGUUUCAAAUAUGCAACACAGGACUAGUUUUAAAUAAUGAUUACCCUAUAUUUGGUUAAUGGAAUAGGCAGGUGUGAUUACUGUGGGAAGGGAUGCGUGGAGGUCAAAUGUCCCAUCACCAUGAAAGGUAGAAACAAAAGUGCUGAUGAUUUUAGAUGGUGAACAUCCCCAAACAGUGGGAGCUUUAGACUAGGCACAACACCUAGUCAUUUUACCAAGGAACAGCUUCAAAUGUUCCUUACUGGAACUUAUGAUUUUCUUGUAUGGUCACCACCCUCACUCAUCAUUACUAAUACAGUGUAUGUUUCCCUGAUUCUGGAAUGUUGCAGCACAGAGGGACUCUCAUUUCCAUAAGUGUUGCAGCAGGGACCAGAUGAUGGAAGUCGCAUGAUUCUUUGUGACACUCUCCCUAUGAGGGAUUAGGAUGAAGAGGGUACCAACUGGGAAAUAGAUGUGCUUAUAGAAAGUGAUUUAAAUUUGUAUGAAGCCAGAUAAUUCAAGCAAGUUUCUCUUUGUAUAAUAUUUUUGUACAGUAAAAGAGCUUUUUUCAAUGAAAA